rnacentral:rRNA from 1 species
UACGGAGGGUGCAAGCGUUAUCCGGAUUUAUUGGGUUUAAAGGGUGCGUAGGCGGAUUGAUAAGUCAGUGGUGAAAUCCUGCAGCUUAACUGUAGAACUGCCAUUGAUACUGUUAAUCUUGAGUAUAGUUGAGGUAGGCGGAAUGAGUAGUGUAGCGGUGAAAUGCUUAGAUAUUACUCAGAACACCGAUUGCGAAGGCAGCUUGCCAAACUAUCACUGACGCUGAUGCACGAAAGCGUGGGGAUCGAACAGGAUUAGAUACCCUGGUAGUCCACGCCGUAAACGAUGCUCACUCGCUGUUUGCGAUACACAGUAAGCGGCCAAGCGAAAGUUUUAAGUGAGCCACCUGGGGAGUACGAUCGCAAGGUUGAA